AAAGAUAUAGCAUAUUCUUCUGAAUAUACUUUAUUUAACCCAUUCCGAGUACCUUACCCGUUGCUUCCGCGAGGCUGUCCUCACGGCCCUCUGAAGAUUUAUCUUUGGGGAGUCCUUGCGGAAGGUAUACAAUAAACUCUUGCAUUACCAUGUCAUCUGUCUGAAUCUGUUUAAGACAAAUAUUAA
rnacentral:misc_RNA from 1 species